rnacentral:rRNA from 1 species
UUGGAGGGCAAGUCUGGUGCCAGCAGCCGCGGUAAUUCCAGCUCCAAUGGCGUAUAUUAAAGUUGUUGCAGUUAAAAAGCUCGUAGUUGAACUUCGGGGUUUACUUAUUGGUCAGGCUUAAUUGUCUGUACUGGUGAGAUGAAUCUCUACUUUCUGAGGAACUUUCAUGUCAUUUAUUUGGUGUGAUUGGAAAUCAGGACUGUUACUUUGAAAAAAUUAGAGUGUUUAAAGCAGGCUAACGUCUGAAUACAUUAGCAUGGAAUAAUGAAAUAGGACGGACUGAUUCUAUUUCGUUGGUUUCUAGGAUCACCGUAAUGAUUAAUAGGGAUAGUUGGGGGCAUUAGUAUUCAAUUGUCAGAGGUGAAAUUCUUGGAUUUAUUGAAGACUAACUACUGCGAAAGCAUUUGCCAAGGAUGUUUUCAUUAAUCAAGAACGAAAGUUAGGGGAUCGAAGACGAUCAGAUACCGUCGUAGUCUUAACCAUAAACUAUGCCGACUAGGGAUCGGACGAAGUUAAUUUUAUAAUGACGCGUUCGGCGCCUUACGGGAAAC